UGAGCAUCCUGGAGCGAAUCGAGAAUACCUCCUCGUUCUGGGCAUUCCACUCCUUGAAAGGACUUCUAGAGCUUAAGAUCUAAGCUCUCGAAUCGAAAGAACCGAAUGAGAGGAUUAGAAAAUCUUCCUGGAAGAUCUCUAACCGCGAAGCGAUGAGAGCUAAAAUGCUAAUGAGAGGAGAGCGCACUUCUUUUCCAACGGGCAGUGUAUUGGAGACUUGAUGAAUAGCGUUGGUCCGCAACACAUGGAAGGAUACCACGUGGCGGGUCUGGAUUCGUCCAGCUAGAUUGGCUUUAACGGCAGUGUUCUCUUGGUGGCGGAGAAUAUUCGGCCUUUUUCAACGGUCGCGAUGGUUGGUAAGGAGAUCAAGAAAGAAGAGUGCAGCCA